rnacentral:rRNA from 1 species
AAAUUGAAGAGUUUGAUCAUGGCUCAGAUUGAACGCUGGCGGCAGGCCUAACACAUGCAAGUCGAACGGUAACAGGAAACAGCUUGCUGUUUCGCUGACGAGUGGCGGACGGGUGAGUAAUGUCUGGGAAACUGCCUGAUGGAGGGGGAUAACUACUGGAAACGGUAGCUAAUACCGCAUAACGUCGCAAGACCAAAGAGGGGGACCCUCGGGCCUCUUGCCAUCGGAUGUGCCCAGAUGGGAUUAGCUUGUUGGUGGGGUAACGGCUCACCAAGGCGACGAUCCCUAGCUGGUCUGAGAGGAUGACCAGCCACACUGGAACUGAGACACGGUCCAGACUCCUACGGGAGGCAGCAGUGGGGAAUAUUGCACAAUGGGCGCAAGCCUGAUGCAGCCAUGCCGCGUGUAUGAAGAAGGCCUUCGGGUUGUAAAGUACUUUCAGCGGGGAGGAAGGGAGUAAAGUUAAUACCUUUGCUCAUUGACGUUACCCGCAGAAGAAGCACCGGCUAACUCCGUGCCAGCAGCCGCGGUAAUACGGAGGGUGCAAGCGUUAAUCGGAAUUACUGGGCGUAAAGCGCACGCAGGCGGUUUGUUAAGUCAGAUGUGAAAUCCCCGGGCUCAACCUGGGAACUGCAUCUGAUACUGGCAAGCUUGAGUCUCGUAGAGGGGGGUAGAAUUCCAGGUGUAGCGGUGAAAUGCGUAGAGAUCUGGAGGAAUACCGGUGGCGAAGGCGGCCCCCUGGACGAAGACUGACGCUCAGGUGCGAAAGCGUGGGGAGCAAACAGGAUUAGAUACCCUGGUAGUCCACGCCGUAAACGAUGUCGACUUGGAGGUUGUGCCCUUGAGGCGUGGCUUCCGGAGCUAACGCGUUAAGUCGACCGCCUGGGGAGUACGGCCGCAAGGUUAAAACUCAAAUGAAUUGACGGGGGCCCGCACAAGCGGUGGAGCAUGUGGUUUAAUUCGAUGCAACGCGAAGAACCUUACCUGGUCUUGACAUCCACGGAAGUUUUCAGAGAUGAGAAUGUGCCUUCGGGAAC